ACAGGAAGCAGGAGAUGGGGGGGCUUCAAAAAGCCCCCACCCCUGGAGGAGAGGCCACCCCAGCUCCAUUUGCUCACCGUGGAAGGGAGAAGACAGCAGCAGCACGCCCGCGGAGAGCGGUUUUUCCCUCCUGUCCCAUCCGUCGGGCACCAAAAACCACGGCAGGAGUCGCUGGAUUGUUUUUUUUUUUUUAACUUUUGCACAGCAACUUUUAUUUCCCCACUAAACAGAGUAACAGGGCAAAGAGACAUAACAGCAUCGCGGGGUCACACGAGGGCCGGCAGGGGUUUUGUAAGCACGCGCGAGAUCACACCUAAAACGAGGCUUUCUCCCCCCCCUCCUCCCCCCCACUUCCCCACCUGCACUGGGACCAAAAUCCCCCAAAGCCGACCCCAAAACCUGGGCGCACGGAGACUCCGGCUCGGCAGCACGCCCACGGCUCUCGCCACGGCUUUUUUGGGUCGGCGGCCGGCACCCCGAGCUCGCCCUGCCUCGCUCCUGGGCCGCGGGAUCCCAGCGCUCGGCCCUACAAAACCCUCGGCAACAACAGGAAGGGCGGGGAGGGGGGGGAAAAAAGAUCGCGGGGGGGGGGUUUUGCUCUCUAGUGGCAGCAAAAGACAGGCUCGGCCCCUUCCCGGGGAAGGGAGAAGCGAGGAUGGGAGGUGGGGGGGCGGAAAAAUGCUAAAAAGGUGACCUGCAGAGCAACGGUGUCAGAAAACCAGGGGUUGGGUACGGGACCUUUCCUCCUCACACAGGUUUUUUUUUCUAGCCCUCGAGAGCUUUCCGGGGGUGCACGAAGCAGGCGGCUUUGCUACGGCUGAAGGCAGGAAGCGAGAAACCCCCCCCUAAGGGAGCUUUUUCUCCCCGGUUUGCCACGGGGGCGGCCAACUUCAAACGACGAAAAGGAAAAGAGGGCUGCUUACAGAGCGGGCCGGAGCGCGAGUGAAGAGGAGAAAACCCUAUACAGGGGGGCUACUGAAGCAGCCAGGUUUGUCCACCCUCGACGGUUGAUGCCCCCCUCCAGAAAAACCUUUUUUCGGGGUAAAAGAGACCUGAAGUUUUUAAAUGCAAGAACGAGGGGAAAAAAAAGAGGAAACCCCCAAAGCUGAACUAGGGACGCGGACAAGUUUCGGGGCUUUUUUGUCUGAAAGCAAGGGGAAAAAGGGAACGGGGUCGGGGCACUACUUGCAGGUCACCUCGGGGGAGAGGGGUUUGGGGGGG
rnacentral:lncRNA from 1 species